GGCUUUUGGUUAGAGGUGUGAAAAUACCUUUUCUCUCAGUAGUGGAAUGUGGUUUUUAAUGUCGGAGGAUAAUGGUAAAGUUUGGGGUUGUUGCUUGUUUUUACAUAGGUUUCAGACUAUGCUGAGUGUGAUUAUGUUGAUCAGCAUUCAUUACAUUGUCUAGUUGCUGGCUGACCUGUGCCAAACUGCUAGUCUGUGUAUUGGAGUUCGUCAGGGUCAAGAGAUGCUUCAGGACAGGGAAGCUUUGUUUGUUUGUUUGUUUUUAAAGAAACCCACACUAAGAUUAAAAGUGCUGAAAACAUCUGCUGCGUGUGAGUAUUACAAUGCAGCUGCACAAUAGCAAGAUUCCUGCCAUGGAAAAUCCUAUGGGUUCUUCACUAGCUAUUUCCCAAGCUUUGCAAUGUAUUACAUUCCUCAGUACACAGCGGGCACCCUUAAUUUUUUUUAUUUUUAAGUGACCUGUCCAACUGCAGCCUGGCUCUCUGGUUGCUUAUGGAAUAAGGGGGAAAAAGGCAGUUUUCACUUUUCCGCAAUCAAUUCUUUUUGAAAGUAGUGCGUUUAUAGACAGUCUCAUGGCACCCUGUGAGAUGAGAAGGGACUUGCCUAUGGUCAUGCCCCAUGCCAGUGGCAGAGCUUAUAAUAGAACACAGAAGCCAGGACUCUGGCCUCUUCUCUAGCCACUGUUCUCUCCUUACUUGUUCUGUGGCGGUGUCUUUCAAAGGCACAGGGGCAGUCAAUUGUGCACUAUGAUGCACGUCGGCAAGAGUACAUCCAUAAUCAGCCAUAUGUGCUUUGCCAUUAGUGCAGUAUCGAGCACCCUCAGCUGAGUACAGUGCAACCAAGAGAAUAAAACAGCAACGCGGGCAGGCAGAUUGUCCAGUUCUGCUGUUGCAUGACACUUCCAAAAGAAGGUGGCAGGUCAGCAUUGGCCUCACAGCAGACGUGCUGCUGUUCGGCUGAUGCACUCAGGAAACUUACUCUGCAGUUAAGCUUGUCUGGUGAGCAGUAAUGAAAAUCUGUCUGGACUGGGUUGUUUUUCACUUCUUGCGCAUUAGGAUUUAUUCCUAGCCUCGGAGCUGGCCUUAAGGGAGCACUGUCCGUUGCCAGGCCGGAAAAUUGAUACCAUUGUUGCACCUAUUUCCUUGCUCUUUGGGAGCAGUGUGGAGCAGCAUUCACCAUCAGAAUAUCAGGGUUGGAAGGGACCUCGGGAGGUAUCUAGUCCAACCCCCUGCUCAAAGCAGGAGCAAUCCCCAGAUAGAUUUUUGCCCCAGAUCCCUAAAUGGUCCCCUCAAGGGCUGAGCUCACAUCUGGGGGUUUAGCAGGCCAAUGUGCAAACCACUGAGCUAUGUUUCCCCCCUGGAACUGGGAGGGGAACAAGCAAAGAGCAGGGAAGUGACUUGCCCCAGGUCACAUACAAGGUUUGUGGCAGAGCUGAGAUUAGAACCCAAGUCUCCUGAUUCCUAGCCCACUGGUCUACCCACUGUACCGUGCCACCGUGAGAGCAUGUCUGUUUCCCCUUUCCUGGUGUCUCAGCCAGUAGACUGACACCUUCUCUGUACUGUUUGUGGGCUUUUGCACAGUUGUAGCUUACACUAAGAGUCUUGCAGCUAACCCUGGCUUCACAUUCUGCUUACUCCAGUGCAGGUUUCAAACUGGGUUUUAGCUGCCAUCAGUGCAAGUCACUUUUCGACACCAGAACGCCAUGUCUACACUCAGGGUUUGAAGUAAUGCAGUUAAUUACACCUCGCAUAGACCAGGUCUGGGAUGCAGAAUGGCAGUCAUUAGCUACAGAAGGGUGGGGAGGGUACAGAGAGAAGCAGGGAGCCCUAAAGGAAUUUUAAAAACCUUCUGGGCAUCUGCACUUUAGAUGCAUCUUGAUUUUAAAUCCACUUCUGGUCACCAGUGCAAGUCGCUGCCCAAGCACACUUGAAAUUUCUCAGCCCCGGCAAAUCUAUUUUAAAAACCACCUAAAUUAUAUUUUGCUAGUUUGGGGGCUUUUUGGUCUGGCGUUAAAACAUAGGAAUGUAUAGUGGAAAUCCUUGAGAAGCUGAAAUCGAUCUGCCUUAACCUUUUUGUUUCAAUGCAAAAAGCUCUUCCAGGGGAUGGCGGUUUUAAAUCGACCGGGAUUUUGUAGAACGCCAAUUUUGUUUCCAGUUUGUUCACUGACAUAGUGGCAGCAGCGUGCAACUCAGACUAAAUGCUCACUGCAUUCUCUGCACCCAGUCUGCUGCCCUAAAAGCAAGUCAAGGUACUUUGAUCCAGCACACUAGCAGCAACGUUUGGGAGGUAUUUGACAUCCUGCUGGAUGACAGCUGGUGGGGAGUGCCUGGUCCGUUGCUAAGGAAGAAGGGCAAGUGGCUGGUGACCCAUAAACACUGUGCGGCCUGGCUGUGCUUGUCUGAGUUAACUACUUACUGCCCAGUCACUAACCUCCCUUCAGGAGGAUUGGAUCCCUCUCCUCUUGGAUAUGCCAGUGUUGGUCUGGUUAGUGACCUCCACAGGGCAAUGGAGAGAGGUCAGGAGCUCAGGCCAAUAUUACUUGGUCUACCAAGAAAUGGCCAAAUGCUUUCAUGCCCUUUUGGAACCUGGGCAGGAACCAGAGGGCAGUGAUCGGUGGACCUUUUCUCUUGGGGAAUGUCCUAAUGGAGGGACGCUGUCAGGCUCCAGCUUGUGUGCCCUCUUGUUUAGCAUGUCUGAGCUUUGGAAGGGGAGAGAGGCAUUCAGACGUUGGGAUGCUGUACGAUAGGCAUGAAAGGAGAAUUCCUGUAACUUCAGAAAACUAUUGUAAAGUUCACAACCUAUUGGUAUUUAUCCUUCCCAUAUAUACCCGAUUUGACUCACCUUUCGCCUGCCUGGAUGGGCGGUGACAGACACCCUGUUAUUAUCUUGGGAAGAUCCCCCUAGCUAUCCGAACCACCCAAGAAAAGCCUUUCCUCACAAGAUCCAUCCCAGAGCCAGUGCAAACUGGACCAAGGCUCUAGGGGCUGGAUUUUCCCAUGAGGGGUCAUGUACACCAGCACAAGGUGGGUGAACAGUCUGAUCUGGUAGUACUCUGCCUCCCACUUUGUAUUGUAACAUAACCGUCUGAAUGUCAAGGGCCAAUCAGGCUGCAGGGCAUUAGUGCCAUAGGACAGCACAGCUCUGAUCUCAGUUCCUCAGUACUGAGUCAAGGACACCCAAUAAUAAGUCCAGCAUCCACCUCACAGAGACUCAGAUCAGGCAGCAGCUCUGUCAUGUGAGCUGAAAGGGAGCCUGCCUUUGGCAGAGGUGCUGGGAGUUGUGCUUGGCUGGAAUUUGCUCUCACGUUGCUUCAUCGGCUGUUGUGUAAGCCUGAGUUUCUGUGGUUAUUUCAAAAUUCCAGGAACGCCCCUUUCAUUGUCUGUCUGCACAGAUUAAAAGGGAUGGCUCUCUGCCUUAGGCUCAGCUGGCAAACCUCAGAAGUUGGCCAAUUUUGAUAUAGUAAGUCAAAAAGCCUGACUGGGACUAAUAAUGUGUUUCAACCUGGCCCCAGGUAAAAUACCCAACUGCUGAGUCUUUACUGUGCGGUUUUGUAGUGGACAUUUCCAGCUCCAUUUCAGACUCAACUUUGAAUCAGAGCUGUCGCGCCGGGUGGGCUAUUUGGAGCUUGCUGGCACUAUGGUGUGAACUGUAGCUAAGAUUAUGCUGCUAUGUUUAAAAAGUGAGUAAUUAUGUAAAAUAAACCCUCUUGUCCUGUUAAGGUCUGGGGACGGACAUCUCAGAGGAUGCUGAGAUGUGGGGAGUUGUCCUUUCCCUGUGCUUCUAAAGUUGUCCUGAUAGUCUCCUGAUAGACAACUGUACGUUGCCCAAUCUGUAACCAGGCAGCUGCUGUGCCUAACAGAAAUCAGGUAGUAUUUCUAGCCCUUCCACUCGCCUGGAUGUUUAAUUCUUGAACUCUCAUUUUCCUUUCUUGGGUGGAAGAAGGAUUUAAGCUCCCAGGACACAAAACUAAUUAACUUGCUGAGGAUUUAGUUUUUGUUUCCUUCCAGCUUUUUAAAAAUGACGUUGCAUCUGUGAAUAAAACAGUGUAGGAGUGAAUCGGACCAGAGCCCUGUGUUAAGUGACUAAGGACUGGAGUCUUCUUCCCCUGCUGUCAUCCUGGGUCCUUUUGGGGUCACUAGAGGCACUGACUAGUGGUGACAAGGCAGCUGCAGCUCUCCCUGCCCCUUUGAAGAAGGGGAGGAUGCUGACUCCUAGGGUGCCUGUGCCCCAGCAAUGGUGAAGCUGCACUGUGGUUGGCAGGGCUCAGUCAUUCUUAGCUGCUGUUUUCUGAGGCUGAACUGCUCCUGCAUGGAUUCCAACCACCAAAAAGGGCAAACAAAUUCUCUGCAGGAUGGAAGCCCUGAGAGACUGUAAACCCUGUGAGAAUUUUGAGGUCCCUGGCUAAAGUACUAGGUCAGAGGCUUGGGUUGUAGGGUUCUUCCCUCAUAGAUAUGGAGAAGAGGCAGUGAAGUGAAUUCAGGAAUGGGUUGAACUUGAAUGGCCCUUCCACCUGGCACAAGAUAGUAAAAAUUAACAGUGCAGGAGCACUUCAGAUUGAGAAGUCAUUUGUGGCACCUGCUUACAUGUAAAUAGUCUCUUAUUAAGUGUCACAUCUUUGGUAAGAGUCUAAUACCCAUCUCACAGAUCUAAACACUGCUCUGGGAAAAUGGAAUACAGCUCGGGUGGAGGGGGAAACAUACCAAGUACCAAAAAUAAAGCCACACCAAUUA